AUGAACACUAGCGUUGGAUCGCCCGCGGAUAUGAGGAACACUACUACUCACGGCACGUCGAUCAUCUCAUUGCCCGGUGCCCAGCAGCUAUGGAACCAGUGGGAGAUCCAAUGCCUGGUGCUGGCGAGCUUCUCCUUGCAAGUCUUCCUCCUCUUUUUCUCGGGCAUGCGGAAGCGCCGCAGGUCCAGCGCCCUCAGCUUGCUGCUGUGGAUUGCCUACCUGCUGGCCGACUACGCCGCAACCUUCACCCUCGGCCGCCUGACGCUCCACCUCGAUGACCCUCGCCACCAGCUCCUGCUCUUCUGGACGCCCUUCCUGCUGCUCCACCUGGGAGGUCAGGAGACGAUCACGGCAUUCUCCACGGAGGACACCUUGCUGUGGAAGCGCCACCUCCUGAGCCUCGUCUCGCAGGUCAUGAUGUCCAUCUACAUCGUCACCAAGUCAUGGCACGUGGUCAGCACCAAGCAGCUUAUGGCUCCCAUGGUGCUCAUGUUCAUUGCCGGGACAAUCAAAUACGCGGAGAGGUCAUGGGCGCUCAUGACCGCCGGCAGCUCCAUGACACCUGGCAGCAGCUCCAUGUCGGACUAUGUGCUCAACGUAGAGAGUAAUGUCCUUGAGGACUCGGAGUCCUAUUUCCAGAGGCUCCAUGAUUUUCUAUCACGCGAUAGUCGGGGCAGGGUAGACUACGAGGGCCUUGUGGAUGUUGCCGGGAAGGGGAUCCGCAUAUGGUUGGAUUUCUUGACAGACAUGACACCUUUCUUGAUGUGGAACAAGGGCGACACCAUCGACCGCGCCAUCCGGAAGUUGAGAGGCCUGGAGAAUCCAGAGCUCCGGCAACAGAUCGGUUACAAGUUGGCUGAGAUCCAGCUCUCGCUUGUCUAUGACUUCAUGUACACCAAGUAUGGAGUGCUCCAGUAUCACCUCAACCUGAUCAACAGUGGAGUCGAGCGGCUCGUCACGUUUGGCGCAACCACUGCGGCGCUGGUGCUGUUCCUGAAGGCUGACCUGCAUGGGCAGUUCGCCGGCGACGUGAGAGCCGAUGUCGUGGUGUCAUAUGUGCUGCUGGCUGGUGCAGUCGCACUGGAUUUAUCCUCCACCUUCAUGGUCAUGUCCUCAUUCUGGCCGUACCUGCCCGGACGAAGCCCCUUCGGGAAAGAUGGAUUCCUCGGAAAGCAUGUAAUGUUCAAUCUGACCAAGCUUGUGAAUCCACUGGGCAAACGGUUGUGGUCAGGGCAGAUGGCGCAAUACAACCUGAUCGGCGAGUGCAUCCAUGAGAAGCAAGCUAAUUUCUUCGUGUGGGCUCUGCGCAAGGUUGGCCUUGUGUCUGACGUCACGCACGUCCAAGUCUCUCCUGACCUCAAGAAGUUCCUCUUCACGAAGCUGCUGGACAUAGGGACGACUAAGCAGGUGACGGAAUACUGGAAGUGGGACUUCGGCACGUUCAGCGGCCAGUGGGCCAGAUGGGCGCUGGAGGCGACGGAGGAAGGAAGGUCGGUAGAUAAGAAGAAGCUCAACCUGGAGGGCGGAACUGUUGCGGCGAUCGUCCUCAUGUGGCAUAUGACCACCGAGAUGUGCCUCUACACCACCACCGACAACGGCAAGGACAGCUCCUCUAUGCACAGGGACAUGAGCAGGCAGCUGUCCGAGUACGUCCUGUACCUUGUCGGGAAGUGCGGCGUCAAGAACGGAAGCAAUGGGCAUUUCGAGUUCGGUAAGCUCCGGCGGGACGUGAAGAAAGCUCUCGCCCACCAACGUUUCUCUGGGGGGCGCCUCGAGCAGAGCGAGGUCGUCCUGUAUGGCUACGAGGGGCAUGGGUUUUUCACCCUCCGUGCCAGUGACGCCGCCAAGGAGCUGCUCAAGAUCACACGCCCAGCUGAAAGAUGGGAGCUCAUCGCCACGGUGUGGACUGAGAUGCUUUGCUUCCUGGCGCAGAACUGCGAGGCGGCAUUCCACAUCAAGAAUCUGACCACUGGUGGUGAGUUCGUCACGCACGUCAGGGUCUUAUCCAUCAUUCUGGGCAUUCCUUUCAUCCGGGAGGCAUGGCAAGCCCAAGCUAAGGAUGACACCGAGUAUUCUGAUUUCGUAAUGUUCUAA
rnacentral:rRNA from 1 species